rnacentral:rRNA from 1 species
AUGGCUCAGGACGAACGCUGGCGGCGUGCCUAAUACAUGCAAGUCGAACGGUCUUUCUAUGGAAGCUUGCUUCCACUGAGAAGAUAGUGGCGAACGGGUGAGUAACACGUGGGUAACCUGCCCAUAAGAGGGGGAUAACAUCCGGAAACGGGUGCUAAUACCGCAUAGUUUUCUUGAUCGCAUGAUCGGGAAAGGAAAGACGGCCUUUGUGCUGUCGCUUAUGGAUGGACCCGCGGCGUAUUAGUUAGUUGGUGAGGUAACGGCUCACCAAGACGAUGAUACGUAGCCGACCUGAGAGGGUGAUCGGCCACAUUGGGACUGAGACACGGCCCAAACUCCUACGGGAGGCAGCAGUAGGGAAUCUUCCGCAAUGGACGAAAGUCUGACGGAGCAACGCCGCGUGAGUGAAGAAAGGUUUUCGGAUCGUAAAACUCUGUUGUCAGAGAAGAACAAGUUGGAGAGUAACUGCUCCAGCCUUGACGGUAUCUGACCAGAAAGCCACGGCUAACUACGUGCCAGCAGCGGC